rnacentral:rRNA from 1 species
CCUACGGGAGGCAGCAGUGGGGAAUAUUGCACAAUGGGCGCAAGCCUGAUGCAGCCAUGCCGCGUGUAUGAAGAAGGCCUUCGGGUUGUAAAGUACUUUCAGCGGGGAGGAAGGGAGUAAAGUUAAUACCUUUGCUCAUUGACGUUACCCGCAGAAGAAGCACCGGCUAGCUCCGUGCCAGCAGCCGCGGUAAUACGGAGGGUGCAGGCGUUAAUCGGAAUUACUGGGCGUAAAGCGCACGCAGGCGGUUUGUUAAGUCAGAUGUGAAAUCCCCGGGCUCAACCUGGGAACUGCAUCUGAUACUGGCAAGCUUGAGUCUCGUAGAGGGGGGUAGAAUUCCAGGUGUAGCGGUGAAAUGCGUAGAGAUCUGGAGGAAUACCGGUGGCGAAGGCGGCCCCCUGGACGAAGACUGACGCUCAGGUGCGAAAGCGUGGGGAGCAAACAGGAUUAGAUACCCUGGUAGUCCACGCCGUAAACGAUGUCGACUUGGAGGUUGUGCCCUUGNGNGUGCGUCGNGCACGCGUAGUCGCCGCCGNGGGNGGUACGGCCGCGAACGUUAAACGUUAAACGGUAAGUUAGACGGCGUGAGACGUGCCGACGGACGACGACGAGGGAGGAGG